UUGCAUCAUGUUCUAUUUUUUAAACACACCCAGUGAAUAUCUUUUUUAGAUCCUUCUUGCCACUCUGGGUGGGUACAGCAUCUGUGCAGAUUACAGGUCAUUUCUUUCCCGACAUAGAUUUUUCAUGAGAAUAUUUGUAAUUUAGAGCACACACUCUGAAGUCAGUGAGAUCUGCGUUUGCAUCCCAGCUCCGCUACCUACUAGCUGUGUGCCUUGGGUCUCGGGGAGGGACGUGGCUGCUGUCCCUGUGUAAGAGGUCACACCAGGAAAACUGAUUUCCUGGGUCUGCUACUGAAUCCACACUGGGCCUCUCGGACUUGCACAUUUUCCCAAUCCACGUAAGACAAAAAUCCUUAUUUGCAUCCUGCCUUCUCCCUGGAGGGACGGAGUGAGAGGAGGUGCAGGAAGAGGUGGCCUAGUUCCUUCUCUUGGUCCUUCCACUCUCCCCUUCAGUGGAUCACCGUCUGGAGCAAAAGAGGGGGAGAGACGGAGACUGUGAUGAUUCACGGCACGCCCCACUUCUUUCUGUUUCUCUCCUUAACACAGCAAUAUCUUUUUAAAUAAAUGCUCUGGAAAGUAAAUUCUAUAAUGAAAUUACAUCUGGUUUAAUUUUUUAAAAAGUAAAUCCUCACAAAUCACGCAAAGUGUCAGCCAUGCGCCACGCUGCAUGCCCACAGGCACAGCUGCGAAGCCUGCAGCCCAC